rnacentral:lncRNA from 1 species
AGGUCUGACUGACAGGAAAGGACCCAGAUAAGAUCCUGGAGGCAAUGGGAUGUGUGGCUGCUCAACACAGACCGACCACACUUGCUCACUGCCAUGUCAUCUCAUACCCUUCCACCCUGGACAUACAUAUCUUCUCACAUGCACCAAGACUCUGUGCAUGGAGAGAAUCCCCAAACCAACAGAAAAAUGAUUGACACAGAAGCCAAGUGCCAGCACUGCGUAUAAGUAACACUACCACCAUCCACAGUGAAGUUAAAAGGAGUUUGAGUAAAUUCUUAGAUCCAUCUUCAUACUUCCACUUCCUCAGACAGCCGGGAGAGCCACCUUUCAGAAGCUUUUUUCAUCUGAUCCUCAUGUCCUUUCAAAGGUGAUUUUGUCUCUUGAGGGAUUUCUGGUUGUCACAAGUUGGGGGUAGUGCUACUGGCAUCCAGUGUGUAGAAGUCAAGUAUGGUGAGAAACAUCCAGAACACACAGGACAGUCCCACAUGAAAAAGAA